rnacentral:pre_miRNA from 1 species
GGGGGGAGGCUGGAUCCUGGGCUGUGUCUCCGGCGCCCAGUGCUCCCGGGCCUGCGCUGUUGGAUUCGGGCUCCAGGCCGCACAGCCCCCU